AAGCGUGCGUAGAUAUGCGCUUAACAGAACAUCUGGGUGAGCACAGCUGUUUCCCGCCCAAUUUAAUUCGGACUUCAAAAUGGGAAAGCAUAAAUCAAGAUGAAAUCCUGGUGGGUUUUAUGAAAGACAACCCGGACAGAGCUUUGCGGCGCUCUCAAUGCUGUUGGGCUGCCAAUCAAGGACGCAUUGGGUUGGAAAAAGGUUUGGGCAGAUUGGAAAACAAACAUCCGCAAGAAGAUGGCGAAAAACAAAUCAGAAACUCGAGCUACAGGUGGAGGGCCCUUCGCUCAGCAAUCGCUUGGGGAAUUGGAGGAGGAAGUGGCCAAGCUAUGUGGCCACUAGCAAUAUAUAUGUGGCAAUAUUCCCUAGCAGGGGAGUGAUUCCAAAUGAUGGAGUCAUGGCAGGAACCAGGGUGCGUGGCAUCAAUAGCAAUUAUCUCCAUGUUGUAGUUACACACCACCAUGGCAUUCAUGCUAUAAAAUCCUUUCCUAUUAUAGAACACGGAGUGGUUUUGUACAGGCUUUAGUAUUCUGAUGUGAGUUCCAUCCACACAGGCACCAAUUCGAGGCAAUUUAAAGUUUCGAUAGAAAUAUUCAUAUGAUUGUUGCAAUUGAUGAUUAUUCAUCUGCAACGAAAUGAA